GGUGGCUCGCCGGCCAUCCGAGAGCCGGAAUUGCGGCCCCACGCGAGGGAAAGAUCAGCGUUGCUGCAACCACGGCAGGACACCCACCAUGCGCGUACCAUACAGGCAGCAUCAGCCUCACUUCACCUUGGAUGACAUGACGAUUAUGAAAUAUUCAGUCAUCCCCCUUGGGUCUACCUGUUGGACACUUGGACCUACUCAUGUGUUUGAGAUGAUUGUGCAGAAAAGCUGAAAAACGGGAUAAAAUUCUAUGUGAGAGAUGACCGCUAAAGGAGUGCGACGCCACCAUCCUGUGCCACAAACCAUACCAAGAAUGGCGGGUUAUGGAUAGAGUUCAUUUGAUCCAUCUGAUAAAAAUACCUAUUGGGGAAUAAGCAUGAAAAGUAAUCAACCACUCUUUCCGCAGUGGAGUUCGGCCGUGAUGAUCAGAAGUUUAGGACCACACUGUAGUCAAGAAAAAGGAAUGAUCUUCGUAAGCUACACCCUUUCGAUCCCAAUCUUACCUUUUUUAAAUUAGUUUUGUUAGUGCUUCCAUUACUUUCUGUUAAAAUAUGCUUAAUGGGCUA